AGUACGGCCGCAAGGUUAAAACUCAAAUGAAUUGACGGGGGCCCGCACAAGCGGUGGAGCAUGUGGUUUAAUUCGAUGCAACGCGAAGAACCUUACCUGGUCUUGACAUCCACGGAAGUUUUCAGAGAUGAGAAUGUGCCUUCGGGAACCGUGAGACAGGUGCUGCAUGGCUGUCGUCAGCUCGUGUUGUGAAAUGUUGGGUUAAGUCCCGCAACGAGCGCAACCCUUAUCCUUUGUUGCCAGCGGUCCGGCCGGGAACUCAAAGGAGACUGCCAGUGAUAAACUGGAGGAAGGUGGGGAUGACGUCAAGUCAUCAUGGCCCUUACGACCAGGGCUACACACGUGCUACAAUGGCGCAUACAAAGAGAAGCGACCUCGCGAGAGCAAGCGGACCUCAUAAAGUGCGUCGUAGUCCGGAUUGGAGUCUGCAACUCGACUCCAUGAAGUCGGAAUCGCUAGUAAUCGUGGAUCAGAAUGCCACGGUGAAUACGUUCCCGGGCCUUGUACACACCGCCCGUCACACCAUGGGAGUGGGUUGCAAAAGAAGUAGGUAGCUUAACCUUCGGGAGGGCGCUACCACUUUGUGAUUCAUGACUGGGGUGAAGUCGUAACAAGGUAACC
rnacentral:rRNA from 1 species